rnacentral:rRNA from 1 species
CUAACUGGAGGACCGAACCGACUAAUGUUGAAAAAUUAGCGGAUGACUUGUGGCUGGGGGUGAAAGGCCAAUCAAACCGGGAGAUAGCUGGUUCUCCCCGAAAGCUAUUUAGGUAGCGCCUCGUGAACUCAUCUCCGGGGGUAGAGCACUGUUUCGGCUAGGGGGUCAUCCCGACUUACCAACCCGAUGCAAACUGCGAAUACCGGAGAAUGUUAUCACGGGAGACACACGGCGGGUGCUAACGUUCGUCGUGAAGAGGGAAACAACCCAGACCGCCGGCUAAGGUCCCAAAGUCAUAAUUAAGUGGGAAACGAAGUGGGAAGGCUCAGACAGCCAGGAUGUUGGCUUAGAAGCAGCCAUCAUUUAAAGAAAGCGUAAUAGCUCACUGGUCGAGUCGGCCUGCGCGGAAGAUGUAACGGGGCUAAAUUAUGCACCGAAGCCGCGGCAGCGAUAUGUAAAUAUUGUUGGGUAGGGGAGCGUUCUGUAAGCCUGUGAAGGUGGCCUGUGAGGGUUGCUGGAGGUAUCAGAAGUGCGAAUGCUGACAUAAGUAACGAUAAUGCGGGUGAAAAACCCGCACGCCGGAAGACCAAGGGUUCCUGUCCAACGUUAAUCGGGGCAGGGUGAGUCGACCCCUAAGGCGAGGCUGAAAAGCGUAGUCGAUGGGCAACGGGUUAAUAUUCCCGUACUGGUGGUAACUGCGAAGGGGGGACGGAGAAAGCUAAAUCAUCCGGGCGACGGUUGUCCCGGUUUAAGCGUGCAGGUGGACUGACCAGGCAAAUCCGGUCGGUUGUUAACACUGAGGCGUGACGACGAGCCACUACGGUGGUGAAGUGAUUGAUGCUCUGCUUCCGGGAAAAGCCUCUAAGCUCCAGGUUACCAUUAAUCGUACCCCAAACCGACACAGGUGGUCAGGUAGAGAAUACUCAGGCGCUUGAGAGAACUCGGGUGAAGGAACUAGGCAAAAUGGUGCCGUAACUUCGGGAGAAGGCACGCUGGCAUUAGGUGAAGUGGUUUACCCAUGGAGCUGAAGCCAGCCGCAGAUACCAGCUGGCUGCAACUGUUUAUUAAAAACACAGCACUGUGCAAACACGAAAGUGGACGUAUACGGUGUGACGCCUGCCCGGUGCCGGAAGGUUAAUUGAUGAGGUUAGCGUAAGCGAAG